ensembl:lncRNA
CCGCGCCCUCACCCCGGCCCUGCCCCCUCCCGGCCCGCCCCCCGGAGCCGGUCAGCCGAGAGGACCCCGGGGCGGAGGGCGGGGACCCGCGGGCGGGGGCCGGCUCCUGUUGCUUCCGCUCCCCGCAGCGGGGGCCUGGGUGGUGGGGACUGUGCGCCCGGAGCUGGGUCUGGCCGGAAGAGUCAAUCUCCCCCCAAGGCCGGAGGGCGGGUGUGAGAUCGGGGCAGUAGAGGAAGGGGCUUGGGGCGGGAAUGAGGGGUCGGGUCGGGCAGAAGACUAGCUAAACCGGGCCUUUGUCUCCGGGGUGCUCGCUGUUCCCCUGCGUGGCCCCUCCUGCCUGGCAGGUGAGGCGGGGCCAGCCCGUGGGGCUCCCCAGACUGUCGCAGCUCCUCAGCGUUGGAGCGAAGGUUCCAGAAAUGACCCAUUUCUGGGCCAGCAGAACAGGAGGUGGAAAGAUGGCAGAGCUUCUGCCGGGUGACAGCUCACGGGAAGGGGAGAGUCCUGGGCUCUGAGAGACGCUGGGGCAGCGGUGUUUUCUCUGCCUGCUUGUGGAGAUUAAGAAAGUGAGCCCAUGUGCAGAGCUCUUCAGCCGGAACUCAAGUGCCCUGCGCACACCCUGCUGCAGUCGGAACCAGACGUGACUUCAGGCUUCGGAGAUAAAAAUAAAUUCUCUUUGCCCCCCACCUGGUAAAAUUAGAAACUUAAUUAAAAUGUCAUCAGGUGCAGCCACAAAUUCCAUGUACCCGGUUUGAAAUGUUAUUAAUAAUAAUGUUCGCACUUGCAUUACUUGCCAUCUUCAAAGCCUUUCGUAAACAGCAGUCUUUUCCAGCUCUUGGGAGAACGUUUGCUGAGCAGG